rnacentral:rRNA from 1 species
CGGGACGGGUGAGUAAUGUCUGGGAAACUGCCUGAUGAGGGGGAUAACUACUGGAAACGGUAGCUAAUACCGCAUAACGUCGCAAGACCAAAGAGGGGGACCUUAGGGCCUCUUGCCAUCGGAUGUGCCCAGAUGGGAUUAGCUAGUAGGUGGGGUAACGGCUCACCUAGGCGACGAUCCCUAGCUGGUCUGAGAGGAUGACCAGCCACACUGGAACUGAGACACGGUCCAG